ACUCAAAGGAAUAGACGGGGGCCCGCACAAGCAGUGGAGUAUGUGGUUUAAUUCGAAGCAACGCGAAGAACCUUACCAGGUCUUGACAUCCAACUAACGAAGCAGAGAUGCAUUAGGUGCCUUUCGGGGAAAGUUGAGACAGGUGGUGCAUGGUUGUCGUCAGCUCGUGUCGUGAGAUGUUGGGUUAAGUCCCGCAACGAGCGCAACCCCUGCCGAUAGUUGCUACGCAAGAGCACUCUAUCGGGACCGCUACCGACAAGGUGGAGGAAGGUGGGGAUGACGUCAAAUCAUCAUGCCCCUUAUGACCUGGGCUACACACGUACUACAAUGGCCGUAAACAGAGGGAAGCAAAGCCGCGAGGCGGAGCAAAACCCUAAAAGCGGUCUCAGUUCGGAUCGCAGGCUGCAAUUCGCCUGCGUGAAGUCGGAAUUGCUAGUAAUCGUGGAUCAGCAUGCCACGGUGAAUACGUUCCCGGGCCUUGUACACACCGCCCGU
rnacentral:rRNA from 1 species